ACUGCAUUGAACUGGAUGAUAGUAGAAGGUGUUUUUGCUAGAAGCUUUUCUCCCAAUGCUGUGCCUCUGUCUUACCAAAGGAUUACGAGUCCUGCAAUCUGUUUUGAUCUAUUCUUUUGCCUCUAGGAAAAGGGUUUCUUGAGGAUACAGUUUUACCUCCAGUAAUGAUUUAUUUGGAUCCAACUGCGUCACCUGUAAAGAUAAAAAAGAAAUCUGAAAAGACACGUAUAAGUAGAUUUCCUUUGAACUGUAUAUUUUCAGGAGCAUAGAUUAAUGUUCAUUGGGGAGCAAUUUUGAUUUCUGACUGGGGGAUUCACAAAGGUAAUUCCCAUUAGCGCUAAUGGGAGCUCUGUGCAUUCCCAGUACAUUGGUGAAAAAACAGAUUCAACAGAUGCUACACAUUUGCUCAAAGUUGUUUACUUUCCCUCAUCAUCUUCAGGAUGAAGAUAUCUGUUUUUGUCACUGUGGAUGUCACUCUGAAAGGAUUACUGGAACACUGGGGGUGAAGAUCCCGUGAAAUCUAGUUCCACACCAGUCACUAGCUCACACUCAAAUGAUGCCCCACUUAUUCCAUGGUUACAAAGGCAGAUUGGGGAUAGAGUUGGCCCAAUGUAGAAGUCAGGAGCGGGGAGGGGAAAGAAAGAGCGAGAACUCCCCUGUGUCACAGAAGUUUCCACCAGGAGCUAAACAAACCUGAUGACCAUCCAAUCAAGACUCGCAAGCACUAUGAGAGCUCCACCAGAUGACACUCUUAGCAAAAUACAGUGCUUCUGCAUAGACUACUAGAUGUAGAUUGGUGAGAAAGUACUAGUCUGUAAUGGGAUAUAUAUGCAUUUAAUUAUGAUUGUAUAGAACAAAAAUCCAAAAGGGUUUUUAAUACAAGUUCAAAGGAUGGUCUCAGACAGGAGAGUGAUGAGCACUGUAUAAAAACAUGACCAAUAGAUAGAAUCAAUAACGUACAUAGGACUGCUUUUGCAAUUUAGUUUGAUGUAUUUGCUUAUCCAGUUAUCAAAACAGCAGGAGAUCAUUUCAUG